rnacentral:rRNA from 1 species
GACGAACGCUGGCGGCGUGCUUAACACAUGCAAGUCGAACGGAAAGGCCCUGCUUUUGUGGGGUGCUCGAGUGGCGAACGUGUGAGUAACACGUGAGUAACCUGCCCUUGACUUUGGGAUAACUUCAGGAAACUGGGGCUAAUACCGGAUAGGAGCGCCUGCUGCAUGGUGGGGGUUGGAAAGUUUCGGCGGUUGGGGAUGGACUCGCGGCUUAUCAGCUUGUUGGUGGGGUAGUGGCCUACCAAGGCUUUGACGGGUAGCCGGCCUGAGAGGGUGACCGGCCGCAUUGGGACUGAGAUACGGCACAGACUGCUACGGGAGGCAGCAGUGGGAAAUGUUGCACAAUGGGCUGGAGUCUGAUGCAACAACGCCGCGUGGGGGAUGACGGCCUUCGGGUUGUAAACCGCUUUCGCCUGUGACGGAGCGUGAGUGACGGUAAUAGGUGAAGAAGCACCGGCUAACUACGUG